rnacentral:misc_RNA from 1 species
UUUCUGCUCCUAAAAUUUCAAGAAUGCGAAGCCUAGUGCUCUCUUGUGAGAGCAGCAGCUUUCUGUUUAAACCCUCUUUUGCUUUAUCUAAUUUUUCCCCUGUUAAUCCCUCUCUAACUGCAAUCUCCAGGUUUUCUAGGCGGCAUUCUCUUUGCAAACAACAUGGAUGGUCUGAGGACUUCCCCAAGGUGGUCAGGACUAGGAAUUACAAAAGAUGCCACAUGACAAGGUCGGCUUAUUGUGACGAAGAAUGCAGUAUAACAAACAAAACAGCAUUGUCGAAGAGGAAAAAUCAAAGCACUUCUGUUCUUCAAGUGUUAGACAUGCCAGAGAACAAUUAUCUGAAAUCCAUUGUCCUUUCUGGGCUUUUCACUCUUUUGUUCACUCAACAAGCAAGUGCUGCUUCAGAGGUUGCUACUGGUUUGCAGUCGUUUCCUUUCUUCGGGGACCUCGGAGAUUUAAGCACAGG